rnacentral:rRNA from 1 species
GUGGGGAAUCUUAGACAAUGGGCGCAAGCCUGAUCUAGCCAUGCCGCGUGAGCGAUGAAGGCCUUAGGGUUGUAAAGCUCUUUCAGCUGGGAAGAUAAUGGCGGUACCAGCAGAAGAAGCCCCGGCUAACUCCGUGCCAGCAGCCGCGGUAAUACGGAGGGGGCUAGCGUUGUUCGGAAUUACUGGGCGUAAAGCGCACGUAGGCGGAUCAGAAAGUCAGAGGUGAAAUCCCAGGGCUCAACCUUGGAACUGCCUUUGAAACUCCUGAUCUUGAGGUCGAGAGAGGUGAGUGGAAUUCCGAGUGUAGAGGUGAAAUUCGUAGAUAUUCGGAGGAACACCAGUGGCGAAGGCGGCUUCAUGGACAGUAACUGACGCUGAGACGCGAAAGCGUGGGGAGCAAACAGGAUUAGAUACCCUGGUAGUCC